rnacentral:rRNA from 1 species
UACGUAGGGGGCAAGCGUUGUCCGGAAUCAUUGGGCGUAAAGAGCGUGUAGGCGGUCCGGUAAGUCCGCUGUGAAAGUCAAAGGCUCAACCUUUGAAUGUCAGCGGAUACUGCCGGGCUAGAGUCCGGAAGAGGCGAGUGGAAUUCCUGGUGUAGCGGUGGAAUGCGCAGAUAUCAGGAGGAACACCAACGGCGAAGGCAGCUCGCUGGGACGGUACUGACGCUGAGGCGCGAAAGCGUGGGGAGCGAACAGG